UGGGCAUUGGGGAGGGGGGUUGUGCUCUGCUAUACAUGCAGUCGAGCGCAGGAGCAGCUGAUCCCCUUCGGGUUUGACGCUUGUGGUAAUGAGCGGCGGACGGGUGAGUAACACGUGGGCAACCUGCCUGUAAGACUGGGAUAACCCCGGGAAACCGGGGCUAAUACCGGAUAAUACUUUCUUUUGCAUAAAGGAAAGUUGAAAGGCGGCUUCGGCUGUCACUUACAGAUGGGCCCGCGGCGCAUUAGCUAGUUGGUGAGGUAACGGCUCACCAAGGCGACGAUGCGUAGCCGACCUGAGAGGGUGAUCGGCCACACUGGGACUGAGACACGGCCCAGACUCCUACGGGAGGCAGCAGUAGGGAAUCUUCCGCAAUGGACGAAAGUCUGACGGAGCAACGCCGCGUGAGUGAUGAAGGUUUUCGGAUCGUAAAACUCUGUUGUUAGGGAAGAACAAGUUGGGUAGUAACUGACCUAACCUUGACGGUACCUAACCAGAAAGCCACGGCUAACUACGUGCCAGCAGCCGCGGUAAUACGUAGGUGGCAAGCGUUGUCCGGAAUUAUUGGGGCGUAAAGCGCUCGCAGGCGGUUCCUUUUAAGUCUGAUGUGAAAUCUCGCGGCUCAACCGCGAAACGGUCAUUGGAAACUGGAGGACUUGAGUACAGAAGAGGAGAGUGGAAUUCCACGUGUAGCGGUGAAAUGCGUUAGAGAUGUGGAAGGAACACCAGUGGCGAGGGCGACUCUCUGGUCUGUAACUGACGCUGAGGAGCGAAAGCGUGGGGAGCGAACAGGAUUAGAUACCCUGUAGUCCACGCCGUAAACGAUGAGUGCUAGGUGUUAAGGGGGUUUCCGCCCCCUUAGUGCUGAAAGUUAACGCUAUAAGCCACUCCCGCCUGGGGGAGUACGGCCGCAAGGCUUGAAAACUCAAAAAGAAAUUGACGGGGGCCCCGCACAAAGCGUGGAAGCAUUGUGGAUUUAAUUCGGAAGCCACCGCGAAAGAACCUUACCGAGUUCUUUGGACAUUCUCUGCCUUAUUUCCUAAGAGAUAGAAAGUUCCCUUCGGGACACAGAAUGGACAGUGUGCAUGGAUUGUCUGCCCACCUCGGUCCAGAGAGAAAUAUGUG
rnacentral:rRNA from 1 species